rnacentral:rRNA from 1 species
UACGAAGGGUGCAAGCGUUACUCGGAAUUACUGGGCGUAAAGCGUGCGUAGGCGGUUUGUUAAGUCCGUUGUGAAAGCCCUGGGCUCAACCUGGGAAUUGCAGUGGAUACUGGCGAGCUAGAGUGCGGUAGAGGAUGGUGGAAUUCCCGGUGUAGCGGUGAAAUGCGUAGAGAUCGGGAGGAACACCCGUGGCGAAGGCGGUUGCCUGGAGCUUUGCUGACGCUGAGGCGCGAAAGCGUGGGGAGCGAUCCGG